rnacentral:rRNA from 1 species
AUUGAACGCUGGCGGCAGGCCUAACACAUGCAAGUCGAGCGGCUGAAGGGAGCUUGCUCCUGGAUUCAGCUGCGGACUGGUGAGUAAUGCCUAUGAUUCUGCCUGGUAGUGGGGGAUAAAGUCCGGAAACGGUCUCUCAUACCGCAUACGUCCUGAGCGAGAAAGUGGGGGAUCUUCUUGCCUCACGCUAUCAGAUGAGUCUAGGUCUGCUUAGCUAGCUUGGGGUGUAUAGGCCUACCAAGGCGACUAUCCGUAACUGGUCUGAGCGGGAGGUCAGUCACAUGGGAACUGAGAAACAGCCCAGACUCCGACGGGGAGCAGCAGUGGGGAAUAUUAGACAAUGGGGGAAAGCCUGAUACAGGAAAGCCGCGUGUGGGAAGAAGGACUUCGGACGGGUAAGUAAUGUAAGUUGGGAGGAAGGGAAGUAAGUUAAUACCUUGAUGUUUUGACGGUACCAAGAGAAUAAGCACCGGCUAACUUCGUG